rnacentral:rRNA from 1 species
ACAGUCACACAUUAGAUACCCGGGUAGUCCCAGCCGUAAACUAUGCUCGCUAGGUGUCAGGCAUGGCGCGACCGUGUCUGGUGCCGCAGGGAAGCCGUGAAGCGAGCCACCUGGGAAGUACGGCCGCAAGGCUGAAACUUAAAGGAAUUGGCGGGGGAGCACAACAACGGGUGGAGCCUGCGGUUUAAUUGGACUCAACGCCGGACAACUCACCGGGGACGACAGCAAUAUGUAGGCCAGGCUGAAGGACCUUGCCUGAAUCGCUG